AUUGAACGCUGGCGGCAUGCUUUACACAUGCGAGUCGAACGGUAACAGGCCGCAAGGUGCUGACGAGUGGCGAACGGGUGAGUAAUGCAUCGGAACGUGCCCAGUCGUGGGGGAUAACUACUCGAAAGAGUAGCUAAUACCGCAUACGAUCUAUGGAUGAAAGCGGGGGACCGUAAGGCCUCGCGCGAUUGGAGCGGCCGAUGUCAGAUUAGGUAGUUGGUGGGGUAAAGGCUCACCAAGCCAACGAUCUGUAGCUGGUCUGAGAGGACGACCAGCCACACUGGGACUGAGACACGGCCCAGACUCCUACGGGAGGCAGCAGUGGGGAAUUUUGGACAAUGGGCGCAAGCCUGAUCCAGCAAUGCCGCGUGCAGGAAGAAGGCCUUCGGAUUGUAAACUGCUUUUGUACGGAACGAAACGGCUCUGGUUAAUACCCGGGGCUAAUGACGGUACCGUAAGAAUAAGCACCGGCUAACUACGUG
rnacentral:rRNA from 1 species